CGCGGGGUGGAGGAGCGGUACCUCGUCAGGCUCAUAAUCUGAAGACCCCGGUUCGAAUCCGGGCCCCGCAACCA
rnacentral:tRNA from 1 species